ensembl:snRNA U6 U6 spliceosomal RNA
GUGUAUGCUUGUUUCGGCAACACAGAUACAAACACUGGGACAAUACAGAGGCCUGGCCCCUGUACAAGGAUGACACCCAAAUGUAUGAAGAAUUCCGUAUUAAA